rnacentral:rRNA from 1 species
AUUGAACGCUGGCGGCAGGCCUAACACAUGCAAGUCGAGCGGGGUUUUCGGACCUAGCGGCGGACGGGUGAGUAAUGCGUAGGAAGCUACCCGAUAGAGGGGGAUACCAGUUGGAAACGACUGUUAAUACCGCAUAAUGUCUACGGACCAAAGUGUGGGACCUUCGGGCCACAUGCUAUCGGAUGCGCCUACGUGGGAUUAGCUAGUUGGUGAGGUAAUGGCUCACCAAGGCGACGAUCUCUAGCUGGUUUGAGAGGAUGAUCAGCCACACUGGAACUGAGACACGGUCCAGACUCCUACGGGAGGCAGCAGUGGGGAAUAUUGGACAAUGGGCGCAAGCCUGAUCCAGCCAUGCCGCGUGUGUGAAGAAAGGCCUCGGUUGGUAAGUACGACUUACUAGUCGAGA